AUGCACCGACAUCAACCAUGUCCACGUCUAGCACAUCAGCCGACGACCAGGCCACCCCCUCCUGAACAACCUGGCAGUUCGUCGUGGCAGCACCCACAACACUAUGGUCCCACGUCGAGCUUCGUGUUUUCUCCACAGCCACAACACCACGGUCCCUCGUCGAGCUUUGUGUUUGAGCCAGAGCAGCCGUCACAGCCAGCAGUCUUCAUGACUUAA
rnacentral:rRNA from 1 species